GGGUGAGUGGCGGAACUGGCAGACGCGCUAGACUUAGGAUCUAGUGGAGCAAUCCGUGAGGGUUCAAAUCCCUCCUCGCCCACCA
rnacentral:tRNA from 1 species